rnacentral:rRNA from 1 species
UGAGCAAUCUGCCCUUCACACCGGAAUAACCAUUGGAAACGAUGGCUAAUACCGAAUAUGACUUCGGAUCGCAUGAUCUGAAGUGGAAAGCUCCGGCGGUGAAGGAUGAGCUCGCGGCCUAUCAGCUUGUUGGUGAGGUAAUGGCUCACCAAGGCGACGACGGGUAGCCGGCCUGAGAGGGUGACCGGCCACACUGGGACUGAGACACGGCCCAGAUCCUACGGG